GACGAACGCUGGCGGCGUGCCUAACACAUGCAAGUCAACUUGACUGAAGGAGCAAUCUGACAGUAGAGUGGCGCAAGGGUGCGUAACGCGUAAGUAACUUGCCCAAGGUAAGGAAUAACGUCGAGAAAUCGGCGCUAAUACCUCAUAAUGCAGCGGAUCCGCAUGGAUAUGUUGUUAAAGGUUUACCGCCUUGGGAUAGGCUUGCGUCUGAUUAGCUAGUUGGUGUGGUAAACGGCACACCAAGGCUACGAUCAGUAACUGGUCUGAGAGGAUGAUCAGUCACACUGGAACUGAGACACGGUCCAGACUCCUACGGGAGGCAGCAGUGAGGAAUAUUGGGCAAUGCUCGAAAGAGUGACCCAGCAACGCCGCGUGGAGGAUGAAGGUAUUCUAUAUCGUAAACUCCUGUGAGAGCAGACGAAAGACAGAUUAUUAAUCUGGAUGACUGUAUGCUCAGAGG
rnacentral:rRNA from 1 species